rnacentral:lncRNA from 1 species
AGAAUUAAUACUCAGUUUUUCUUCUACUAGAGACGAUGAAAUCAGAAGCCGACAAAGUGUUUAGUAGUAUGGAAUUGUUGGUGGAGGAGGUGACGCGUAUGAUACUCCUACAAUUGGUGGGAGUGGGGUAUUCUCAAUUGCCGGUGGUGGUGGGGGCGGCGGUGGGGGUGAGGAAUAUGAAUACUCAUUAGGUGGAGGAGGAUUUUGAUAAUGAGAAGGUGAUGGUGGGUAAUGCCAAUGAUGCUGUGGGGGUGGGUGGUGGUAGCUUGGUGUGGAUGUUGGCGGCGGUUCUAAUGGUGGUGAGUGGUGAUAGCUUGGUGUAGAUGUUGGUGGCGAUGAUGGUGGUGGGUGGUGAUAGUUUGGUGAGGAGGAUGGCGGCGGUGAUUCUGGAGUGGUGCAUCCAGGCCCAUGUGGAGGAGGUGGACUUGCCGUUGAAUGCUCAUGAGUUGGAGGAGGGGAGUGUGUAUAUCCAUUCUUUGGUGGAGGAGGAGGCGGACUUACCGGUGAAUGCUCAUGAGUUGGAGGAGGAGAGUGUGUAUAGCCAUUCGUUGGUGGAGGAGGCGGCGGUGGUGAUGGAUGGUAUUGAUAGGGAGGGGCAUGAUAAUUAACAGGUGGUGGUGGAGGUGCUUCAUGUUGAUAGGGAGGUGGGUUGUACUCGACAGGUGGCGGUGGCGGUGCUUCAUGUUGAUAGGGAGGUGGGUUGUACGUGGCAGGUGGGGGUGAAUGCUCAGGUGCAGAGGGUGUAUGUUCAACUGGUGGCGGCGGAGGAGUUUGAUGUGUACUUGGCGAAACCUUUUUAGUAGGCGGGGGUGGAGCAUAAGAAUGGGAAUGGCUAGGUGGAGGAGGUGGGAAUGAGUGCUCGACAGGAGGUGAUGGUGGUGGCAGAUGUAUUUUGGGUGAUACCUUUUCAGCAGGCGGUGGCGGUGAAGAUGGUGGGUUGAAUGACGUUGUGGGAGGGGGAGGAGGAUGUGAUCUGGUAGAAGGUGAAGACUUGGAAGUGGGUGGUGGAGGUGAAGGACGAAUAACUGGCCUCAUUGGAGUUGCAGGCUUUGGUACAGAUGGCCUUCCAACCGGAGGUCUUCUCUUUGGUGAAGGAGGGUUGCUUCCACCGCCGCCACCUCCACCGCCGCCACCGCUAGAACCUCCACCACAUUUGAAUUUACUGCAGUCCACAGGACGUGCAGCGUUUGAAGAACAUUCUUUGGCAGAUCUCUGAUUCAACUUACCAGGAAUACAGUUCUUGGUACCAUUAGUGACCACGCUGCCUCCAAUAGCAGCACAACUUGGAGCUUCCCCGGUGAAGUAGUUGAAAGAAUA